UUUUUUUUUUUUUUUUUUUUUUUAGGGAAUUUGAGUAUCAUCCUUUGAUCCUUUGGUUGAGUAUCAUCCUUUGGUCAUUUAUGCUAUUCUAUAGAAAAGAGAUCUAUUUGUCUGUCAUUUGUUUAUGGGCCAUUCAUUAUUCAGUAAACAUCUACUGAGCUUUUAUUAUGUUCCAAUGACUAUUUUAGAUGCUGGGGAGUGACAAAGAAGCAACAUCAACAACAUUAAGUUUUGUUUUCUUUUUUUUUUUUUUUUUUUUUACUCUAAUGGUGCUUAUUACUGGGUGUUAUUAGGGAAAGGAGUAGACGAAUAAUAAGAAGAAAAAAUAAAUAUAUAAACAUCAUAUGGAGAUAAAUACUAUUGAGAAAAAUAAGCCAUUAAGUGAUAUGGUGACUAUAGGGUUGACUGAGCAAGAACAUUUCAUUUUUAGUUGAUCAGUGAACUAAUGUCACUUCACCAAGAGGUAAUAACAUGGAGGAGGUAAGGGAACCAACAAUUUGGACUUCUUAGGGAAAAGCAGUCUAGGACAAAGGAGUAGGGUGUGCCAAAGCCCAAGAGAGACACAGUGGGUGAUAAGAUCAGACAGGUCUUCAGGGCUUGACUGUGUAGAGCCUUCAAGGACUUUGGCUAUUUCUCUAAGUGAGAUGAAAACUACUACAGGUACUUAAAACUAUAGGGUUUAAGUAGUAUAGUGUCAGGAUCUGGCUUUCAUUUUAAAGGGACAACUCAUCAGCUUGUUAUUUCAUCAGAAAACAGAGGGUCUAUAAUAAAGAAGGUAGCUUUGAUGGGAAAAAGGAAAAGCCUAGUAGGGAGGAUUUAGUGGCUCCAAUAAGCAGUUACAAUCAGAAAACCUGACAAGUCACCGGGCUGAAGAGGUCACUAGUUCCUUUGGGGUGGGAGUUGGGGAAUAAGAAUUUAGAAAGAAGUUAAAGUGGGGGGAAGGUCAAAGUGUUUCCUAAAAGAAUUUAGUUACUUAAUUUCACCUAGGACCAUCUCUGGUUUCUAGCUUUGUUAAUUAUUUGAUGAUGGUGGAGGCACCUUACCUACUAGAUUUAAAAUAAGAAUCAUCCAGAUACUAUGUACCACUUGUGGUGCUACUGUGGCAAAAUAACAACACAAAUGUAAGCUUUCUUUUAUCACUCUAAAGAAAUAUUUCUUUUAAUUCAAUAGAGUAAAGGCAAUAUGUGGAUGGUGAUCAUUCUCAAGGAUGUAUUUAUUGAUGGGAAGAUGGAGGCACGGAAUUAAUAACUAUUUUAUCUACCAUUCACCCUAAAGUUAUUUAUUCAAUAUUUUUGAAAGUCAAAUCACCACUACCUGCUACAAUAGGGACUACAGGACUCUGGAUCUGGGUUGACCCUGCUUGAAAGCCAAGCAGCCUGCACCUUAAAAACUCACUUGUAGACCUAACAUAACCUUUAUUUGGUUAGACAGACGCUCGUCUUGCAGUGAUGUUUGACAGUUUUAGAAAUAUUGCAGGAAAGUUCUGAAGGACUGAAAGCUAUUGUUGAUUUUUUAAAAUGUUGUUGUACCUUAUGUUUAUCAGUUAUAGGAAACUAUUUGGAAAUUGUU
rnacentral:lncRNA from 1 species